UGUUGCUUUAAGGCCACCUGUGUUGUUACCCUAUUUCACUAUCGAACUCCUCGUUCGGCUAGCAACGACUAAGUCCAUCAUUCACUUCAAAAAACUGAGUUAAGGCAUUAAAAGAAACUGGGAUGGUCUUGUACUCAGUCGACUGCAACACCCACUCAAGUUGCCGCAAUCGACUUUCUGCCCCUUUUGUUCCUUUAUUGAAAUGGUUCACUCCGCUUCCAUCACUUUUAUGUGUUUAUCUUGUCAAACCCACUUCUUUUUUGUGCUUAAUGGUUAUAGAAACCAACUCAAGAUGUAAUAUUGAAGUGUGUUCAAAUUUUGGGAGUUUACGUAGGAGUGAGACUAGUAGACAUGACCAUCAACGACACCGGCGGAAGAGUUGGAAAUGCUUCUUAGAGGAGAAUGGAGAUAGGUUGUUGGUUCUAUAAUCACAUGAAGAAGAGGCGUACAUUGGCAAAAUAUGCGCAAAAUCAGAGAAAUGCACUCGACAAGGUUACUUAGCAAUAGCUGAAUAAAUCUGGGGAUUGAUGGCCUAAAGUCAAAUUGAUGUAUUGGAAGAAAAUGAUGAAGAGUUUUGUACAAUUAUGAUAUUUGUGA